rnacentral:rRNA from 1 species
CUCGUAGGCGGUUUGUUAAGUCAGAUGUGAAAUCCCCGGGCUCAACCUGGGAACUGCAUCUGAUACUGGCAAGCUUGAGUCUCGUAGAGGGGGGUAGAAUUCCAGGUGUAGCGGUGAAAUGCGUAGAGAUCUGGAGGAAUACCGGUGGCGAAGGCGGCCCCCUGGACGAAGACUGACGCUCAGGUGCGAAAGCGUGGGGAGCAAACA